rnacentral:rRNA from 1 species
CAUUAAAAAGUUAAUUGUGAAAUUCAAUUUAAUUUGAAGUUAAUAAUUUAUUAAUUUUUUAAUUUUAUAAAUAUUAAUUUAAAUAAAAUAAGUUUUAUUAAAUUAAAAGAAAAAAUUUAGUUUAUGAUAGAAAAUUGUAUUGUGAAAGAAAAUUUUUAAUUUUAAAAAGAAAAAUUUAUUUUUUGUACCUUGUGUAUCAGGGUUUAUUAAAAAUAAUUAUUGAUUUAAUUUUCUCGAAUUUAAAAGAGCUAAAAAAUUAAAAAUUUUAUUGUAAAAUAAAUAAUUUUAAAUAAUUUUUUUGUAAUGAAAUGUUAUUCGUUUUUAAAUAUAUCUAGUUUUUUAAGAAAAAAAUUUAAUUUAUUUAUUUAUUAAUAUAAUUAUAUUUAAAUAUUUUUAUAUUAUUAAUAGAAAAUAUUUUUAGGGAUGAGCUUAAAAAUAAAUUUUUAUUAGAUUAUAAAUUAGGUUAUAAAAUUAGGAUUAAUAAUUUUCAUAUUUAAAAGUAUGUUAUAAUUUAUAUUUAAAAUUAUAAUUUUUAUUUUCUAUAAAUUUUUUAUUAAAAUAUAAAUUUAAAUAUUAAAAAUUUAGAAAUAAUGAUAAAAUUAGUAUAUAUAUAAUUAUAUUGAUAUAAUUUUUUUUAUGGUUAAAUAAAGGAAUUCGGCAAAUUAUUUUUCACCUGUUUAUUAAAAACAUGUCUUUUUGUUUUAAAUUUAAAGUCUGGUCUGCCCUAUGAUUAAUUUAAAUGGCCGCGGUAUUUUGACCGUGCUAAGGUAGCAUAAUCAUUAGUUUUUUAAUUGAAAGCUGGAAUGAAGGGUUGAAUGAAAAAAUAACUGUCUCUAUUUAAUUAUUAUAAAAAUUUAUUUUUAAGUUCAAAAGCUUAAAUUUUAUUAAAAGACGAGAAGACCCUAUAGAGUUUUAUAAUUUUUAGUAUAAAAGAUUUGGAAUUUAUUUUUUUGUAUUUAAAAAUUAUUUGAUUGGGGUGAUUAAAAAAUUUAAUAAACUUUUUUAUUUAAUUAAUAUUAAUUAAUAAAUAUUUGAUCCAAAAAUUUUGAUUAAAAGAUUAAAUUACCUUAGGGAUAACAGCGUAAUUUUAUUAGAGAGUUCUAAUUGAUAAUAAAGAUUGCGACCUCGAUGUUGGAUUAAAAUUUAUAAUUGGUGCAGAAGCUAAUUAAUUAAGUCUGUUCGACUUUUAAAAUUUUACAUGAUCUGAGUUUAAACCGGUGUAAGCCAGGUUGGUUUCUAUCUUUAAUUAAUUUUGAUAUUUUAGUACGAAAGGACCAAAUAAAAUAAUUAAAUUUUUAAUUUUGAAUUAAAUUAAUUAUUUUGGCAGAUUAGUGUAAUAGAUUUAGAAUCUUUAAAUGUAAUUUAUAUUAC